UACGUAGGUGGCAAGCGUUAUCCGGAUUUACUGGGUGUAAAGGGCGUGUAGGCGGGACUGCAAGUCAGAUGUGAAACCCAUGGGCUCAACCCAUGGCCUGCAUUUGAAACUGUAGGUCUUGAGUAUCGGAGAGGCAGGCGGAAUUCCUAGUGUAGCGGUGAAAUGCGUAGAUAUUAGGAGGAACACCAGUGGCGAAGGCGGCCUGCUGGACGACAACUGACGGUGAGGCGCGAAAGCGUGGGGAGCAAACAGG
rnacentral:rRNA from 1 species